GACGAACGCUGGCGGCGUGCCUAAUACAUGCAAGUAGAACGCUGAAGAGAGGAGCUUGCUCUUCUUGGAUGAGUUGCGAACGGGUGAGUAACGCGUAGGUAACCUGCCUUGUAGCGGGGGAUAACUAUUGGAAACGAUAGCUAAUACCGCAUAACAAUGGAUGACACAUGUCAUUUAUUUGAAAGGGGCAAUUGCUCCACUACAAGAUGGACCUGCGUUGUAUUAGCUAGUAGGUGAGGUAACGGCUCACCUAGGCGACGAUACAUAGCCGACCUGAGAGGGUGAUCGGCCACACUGGGACUGAGACACGGCCCAGACUCCUACGGGAGGCAGCAGUAGGGAAUCUUCGGCAAUGGGGGCAACCCUGACCGAGCAACGCCGCGUGAGUGAAGAAGGUUUUCGGAUCGUAAAGCUCUGUUGUAAGUCAAGAACGAGUGUGAGAGUGGAAAGUUCACACUGUGACGGUAGCUUACCAGAAAGGGACGGCUAACUACGUGCCAGCAGCCGCGGUAAUACGUAGGUCCCGAGCGUUGUCCGGAUUUAUUGGGGGUAAAGCGAGCGCAGGCGGUUUGAUAAGUCUGAAGUUAAGGCUGUGGCUCAACCAUAGUUCGCUUUGGAAACUGUCAAACUUGAGUGCAGAAGGGGAGAGUGGAAUUCCAUGUGUAGCGGUGAAAUGCGUAGAUAUAUGGAGGAACACCGGUGGCGAAAGCGGCUCUCUGGUCUGUAACUGACGCUGAGGCUCGAAAGCGUGGGGAGCGAACAGGAUUAGAUACCCUGGUAGUCCACGCCGUAAACGAUGAGUGCUAGGUGUUGGAUCCUUUCCGGGAUUCAGUGCCGCAGCUAACGCAUUAAGCACUCCGCCUGGGGAGUACGACCGCAAGGUUGAAACUCAAAGGAAUUGACGGGGGCCCGCACAAGCGGUGGAGCAUGUGGUUUAAUUCGAAGCAACGCGAAGAACCUUACCAGGUCUUGACAUCCCGAUGCUAUUUCUAGAGAUAGAAAGUUACUUCGGUACAUCGGUGACAGGUGGUGCAUGGUUGUCGUCAGCUCGUGUCGUGAGAUGUUGGGUUAAGUCCCGCAACGAGCGCAACCCCUAUUGUUAGUUGCCAUCAUUCAGUUGGGCACUCUAGCGAGACUGCCGGUAAUAAACCGGAGGAAGGUGGGGAUGACGUCAAAUCAUCAUGCCCCUUAUGACCUGGGCUACACACGUGCUACAAUGGUUGGUACAACGAGUUGCGAGUCGGUGACGGCAAGCUAAUCUCUUAAAGCCAAUCUCAGUUCGGAUUGUAGGCUGCAACUCGCCUACAUGAAGUCGGAAUCGCUAGUAAUCGCGGAUCAGCACGCCGCGGUGAAUACGUUCCCGGGCCU
rnacentral:rRNA from 1 species